AUGCACGCUGGCGGCGUGCCUAAUACAUGCAAGUCGAGCGAACGGACGAGAAGCUUGCUUCUCUGAUGUUAGCGGCGGACGGGUGAGUAACACGUGGAUAACCUACCUAUAAGACUGGGAUAACUUCGGGAAACCGGAGCUAAUACCGGAUAAUAUUUUGAACCGCAUGGUUCAAAAGUGAAAGACGGUCUUGCUGUCACUUAUAGAUGGAUCCGCGCUGCAUUAGCUAGUUGGUAAGGUAACGGCUUACCAGGGCAACGAUGCAUAGCCGACCUGAGAGGGUGAUCGGCCACACUGGAACUGAGACACGGUCCAGACUCCUACGGGAGGCAGCAGUAGGGAAUCUUCCGCAAUGGGCGAAAGCCUGACGGAGCAACGCCGCGUGAGUGAUGAAGGUCUUCGGAUCGUAAAACUCUGUUAUUAGGGAAGAACAUAUGUGUAAGUAACUGUGCACAUCUUGACGGUACCUAAUCAGAAAGCCACGGCUAACUACGUG
rnacentral:rRNA from 1 species